GAUGAACGCUGGCGGCGUGCUUAACACAUGCAAGUCGAACGGUGAAGCAGAGCUUGCUCUGUGGAUCAGUGGCGAACGGGUGAGUAACACGUGAGCAACCUGCCCCGGACUCUGGGAUAAGCGCUGGAAACGGCGUCUAAUACCGGAUACGAGAUUCCACCGCAUGGUGAGUUUCUGGAAAGAUUUUUUGGUCUGGGAUGGGCUCACGGCCUUUCAGCUUGUUGGUGGGGUAAUGGCUCACCAAGGCGUCGACGGGUAGCCGGCCUGAGAGGGUGACCGGCCACACUGGGACUGAGACACGGCCCAGACUCCUACGGGAGGCAGCAGUGGGUAAUAUUGCACAAUGGGCGGAAGCCUGAUGCAGCAACGCCGCGUGAGGGAUGACGGCCUUCGGGUUGUAAACCUCUUUUAGCAGGGAAGAAGCGAAAGUGACGGUACCUGCAGAAAAAGCGCCGGCUAACUACGUGCCAGCAGCCGCCGUAAAAC
rnacentral:rRNA from 1 species